ACGCACGCUGGCGGCGUGCUUAACCCAUGCAAGUCGAACGGAAAGGCCCCUUUGGGGGUACUCGAGUGGCGAACGGGUGAGUAACACGUGAGUAACCUGCCCUUGACUUCGGGAUAACUUCAGGAAACUGGGGCUAAUACCGGAUAGGAAUCCUUGCUGCAUGGCGGGGGUUGGAAAGCUUCGGCGGUUUUGGAUGGACUCGCGGCUUAUCAGCUUGUUGGUGGGGUAGUGGCUUACCAAGGCUUUGACGGGUAGCCGGCCUGAGAGGGCGACCGGCCACAUUGGGACUGAGAUACGGCCCAGACUCCUACGGGAGGCAGCAGUGGGGAAUAUUGCACAAUGGGCGGAAGCCUGAUGCAGCAACGCCGCGUGCGGGAUGACGGCCUUCGGGUUGUAAACCGCUUUCAGCAGGGGCGAAGCUUGUGGUGACGGUACCUGCAGAAGAAGCACCGGCUAACUACGUG
rnacentral:rRNA from 1 species